rnacentral:rRNA from 1 species
GUGGGGAAUCUUGCGCAAUGGGCGAAAGCCUGACGCAGCGACGCCGCGUGGGGGAUGAAGGCCCUCGGGUUGUAAACCCCUUUCGGCAGGGACGAAGCGAUUGUGACGGUACCUGCAGAAGAAGCCUCGGCUAACUACGUGCCAGCAGCCGCGGUAAGACGUAGGAGGCGAGCGUUGUCCGGAUUCAUUGGGCGUAAAGAGCACGCAGGCGGUUUGGCAAGUCGGACGUGAAAAUCCGGGGCUCAACCCCGGACCUGCAUCCGAAACUGCCCGACUAGAGGUAGGUAGGGGAGAUCGGAAUUCCUGGUGUAGCGGUGAAAUGCGCAGAUAUCAGGAGGAACACCGGUGGCGAAGGCGGAUCUCUGGGCCUUACCUGACGCUCAGGUGCGAAAGCUAGGGGAGCGAACAGGAUUAGAAACCCGGGUAGUCC